UUUAAAAGCUGCGGCAGCUUACACAUGCAGUCGAACGGUAGCAGGAGAAAGCUUGCUUUCUUGCUGACGAGUGGCGGACGGGUGAGUAAUGCUUGGGAAUCUGGCUUAUGGAGGGGGAUAACUACUGGAAACGGUAGCUAAUACCGCGUAAUAUCGGAAGAUUAAAGGGUGGGACCGAAAGGCCACCUGCCAUAAGAUGAGCCCAAGUGGGAUUAGGUAGUUGGUGGGGUAAAGGCCUACCAAGCCGACGAUCUCUAGCCGGUCUGAGAGGAUGACCAGCCACACUGGAACUGAGACACGGUCCAGACUCCUACGGGAGGCAGCAGUGGGGAAUAUUGCACAAUGGGGGGAACCCUGAUGCAGCCAUGCCGCGUGAAUGAAGAAGGCCUUCGGGUUGUAAAGUUCUUUCGGUGAUGAGGAAGGCAGAUAAGUUAAUAGCUUAUUUGAUUGACGUUAGUCACAGAAGAAGCACCGGCUAACUCCGUGCCAGCAGCCGCGGUAAU
rnacentral:rRNA from 1 species